CACGGGGAUAAAUACUGCAGAGCAGCUACUGUGAAAGGCUUCCUUCUACCCUGUCUGUGAAGUAAUGACGUUCUGCUGUUGCCGCUUUACAGGAGAAGGCACAAUCAAUGGGUCUCUUGACAUGGUGAGAGACUGAAGUCGGGUGAGUGACUAGAGAAAGUUGCUGAAUCACAUCACUGAGCAGAGUAUAUUCCUCAAAUGGGCUUUCUCUAAUGACGGAAAAAAAAUAAACAAAAAAGAAAGCAGCAGCAAACCUGGCACUGCUCUAUUACUUUGGCUGAGGGUGUUGGAAGAUGAAAUUCUGCUCAACUUCCAGGCAAGCAAAUCUCCAUCCUGCAAUGUGCAGAAAAGCUGCUGAAAUGCUGGGACAGAGAGACUGGAGGAAACACAAAGAAAUUCCUGACUCCCUCUAGAACACAGAGUGUGAACACAAAGAAGAGGGAGGAGGAAGAUGGACUCUGCCUCCUCAGUUGCACCAGCACUGCAAUUUCCGACA